UUGACCAAAAAAGUCAUCAAGCCGGGACCGGACCGGACCAAACUGGUUCUAACCGAUUUCAAUUCCAAUUUCAGACCGCACCAAACUGGACCAGAUAGAACUAGACCGGUUGUGUAUAAUUUUUUUCUAAUACAAAAUUAUUUAAUCCAAUGCUACAUUUUUUAUUUUAUAACUAAUAUUUUUCCAAGUCCAACUUCAAAAC
rnacentral:lncRNA from 1 species